rnacentral:rRNA from 1 species
GUGAGGAAUAUUGCGCAAUGGAGGCAACUCUGACGCAGCCAUGCCGCGUGCAGGAAGAAGGCGCUACGCGUUGUAAACUGCUUUUAACCGGGAAGAAACCCCAGGACGUGUCCUGGGUUGACGGUACCGGAGGAAUAAGCACCGGCUAACUUCGUGCCAGCAGCCGCGGUAAUACGAAGGGUGCAAGCGUUAUCCGGAUUCAUUGGGUUUAAAGGGUGCGUAGGCGGAGCGUUAAGUCAGUGGUGAAAUCCUGCAGCUUAACUGUAGACUUGCCAUUGAUACUGGCGCUCUUGAGUGCGCUUGAAGUGGGCGGAAUGUGCCGUGUAGCGGUGAAAUGCGUAGAUAUGGCACAGAACACCAAUUGCGAAGGCAGCUCACUAAGGCGAUACUGACGCUGAGGCACGAAAGCGUGGGGAUCGAACAGGAUUAGAAACCCCUGUAGUCC